rnacentral:lncRNA from 1 species
UUACUCAUUAUAAUCAAGUGUAAACAAUUUGAGAAUGGUCUUGUGCAACCUAGUCAACCAACCAAUCAAAUUGCACCCUUUUGCAUACUUUUGGUUUUAGUCUAAUAUGAGUUACUUCAAGUAAUUACAUAUGUAAUUAAUCAUAUUAAAAUGUAAUUAAAAUGCAGAUAUGCAAUUAAGACAAAUAUAUCACCGUUUAGCACAUUGAUCCCUUCUUAACCGAGAAACUGAGAUUCUCACUACAAUAAAUCACUUAAGUUCAUGUUAAAUCAUAAAGUAGAAGUUCAAUAACAUGUAUCAUGUAUUAUCACAGUUUAAGAAAAGUAUUCGAUCACGUAUUAAAACACAAUUAAGGCACAUGUGUAGCAAGUAGUCGUGAUCAUGCAUCAUGAAUAAUGAAUUCUAACUAUAUGCAUUGAUGCAAUAUGCUUAUUAUUGGCCAU